rnacentral:hammerhead_ribozyme from 1 species
GUAUUGAUGAAGAGUCCCAAACUGACGAAACAGCUGUCCAGUAC